rnacentral:piRNA from 2 species
UCACUCAGUAAGUGCUAGCUA